GACGAACGCUGGCGGCGUGCCUAAUACAUGCAAGUCGAACGCAGUGGGGACGGGUGAGUAACACGUGGGUAACCUCCCAUCAGAGGGGAAAACACUUGGAAACAGGUGCUAAACCGAGACUGAUGGAUGGACCCGGGGUGCAUUAGCUAGUUGGGGAGGUAACGGCUCACCAAGGCCACGAUGCAUAGCCGACCUUAGGGGGUGAUCGGCCACCGUGUGACUGAGACACGGCCCAGACCCCUGCGGGAGGCAGCAGUAGGGAAUCUUCGGCAAUGGACGAAAGUCUGACCGAGCAACGCCGCGUAAGUGAAGAAGGUUUUCGGAUCGUAAGACUCUGUUGUUAGAGAAGCGGUAUCUAACCAGAAAGCCACGGCUAACUACGUGCCAGCCGCCGCGGUAAUUC
rnacentral:rRNA from 1 species